AUGGGACUGGACACUUUGAGUGCCUUGGGAAAGCUCUUCUGCUCUUUGUCCUUUGGAAUACAGAGAAAACCAGCUAGAGCCCCAAAAUGGCUUUUAUUUGCACCUACCUGCUGCCUCUCCAUCUCUUCCAGCUGGCACAUUUGGGAGGUGCAAAGGGCUGAAAAACUGCUGAAGAAUUGCAUCUUCACUGCAUGGAGAAAUCCAGAGGUGCCUUGCAGGGACAUAAUCUAUACAGAGAAUAAUUUUAAAUUGUUCCCCAUGUGAAGAUGCCGAGGAGAAAAAGGACUCUUGUGUCAGGUGUACGUCAAGCACAUAUAAUCACUCUGUGCUGGAAGAAGGCACAAAGAAGGAUCAUGUUGCACA
rnacentral:lncRNA from 1 species